AUUGAACGCUGGCGGCAUGCCUAACACAUGCAAGUCGAACGGCAGCGCGGGGGCAACCCUGGCGUCGAGUGGCCGACGGGUGAGGAAUGCAUAGGAAUCUGCCCGGUUGUGGGGGAUAAGGUAGGGAAACUUACGCUAAUACCGCAUACGCCCUUCGGGUGUACGUGGGGGACCUUCGGGCCUCACGCGAUCGUGUGAGCCUAUGACCGAUUAGCUAGUUGGCGGGGUAAGGGCCCACCAAGGCGACGAUCCGUAGCUGGUCUGAGAGGAUGAUCAGCCACACUGGGACUGAGACACGGUCCAGACUCCUACGGGAGGCAGCAGUGGGGAAUAUUGGACAAUGGGCGCAAGCCUGAUCCAGCAAUGCCGCGUGUGUGAAGAAGGCCUUCGGGUUGUAAAGCACUUUUGUUCGGAAAGAAAACCAGGUGGUUAAUACCCGGACGGUAUGACGGUACCGAAAGAAUAAGCACCGGCUAACUUCGUG
rnacentral:rRNA from 1 species